GGCUUAGAGUUUGAUCAUGGCUCAGGAUAAACGCUGGCGGCGCACAUAAGACAUGCAAGUCGAACGGACCAAAACAAUAGUUUACUAAUGUCGAGGUUAGUGGCGGACUGGUGAGUAACACGUAAGCAACCUGCCUAACAGAGGGGAACAACAGUUAGAAAUGACUGCUAAUACCGCAUAUGCCUAAGUAUCGCAUGAUACAAUAGGGAAAGGAGAAAUCCGCUGAUAGAUGGGCUUGCGACUGAUUAGCUAGUUGGUGGGGUAGAGGCCUACCAAGGCGACGAUCAGUAGCCGAACUGAGAGGUUGAACGGCCACAUUGGGACUGAGAUACGGCCCAGACUCCUACGGGAGGCAGCAGUCGGGAAUAUUGCGCAAUGGAGGAAACUCUGACGCAGUGACGCCGCGUGCAGGAAGAAGGUUUUCGGAUUGUAAACUGCUUUAGACAGGGAAGAAAAAAGACAGUACCUGUAGAAUAAGCUCCGGCUAACUACGUGCCAGCAGCCGCGGUAAUACGUAGGGAGCGAGCGUUAUCCGGAUUUAUUGGGUGUAAAGGGUGCGUAGACGGGAAUGUAAGUUAGUUGUGAAAUCCCUUGGCUUAACUGAGGAACUGCAACUAAAACUAUAUUUCUUGAGUACUGGAGAGGAAAGUGGAAUUCCUAGUGUAGCGGUGAAAUGCGUAGAUAUUAGGAGGAACACCAGUGGCGAAGGCGACUUUCUGGACAGAAACUGACGUUGAGGCACGAAAGUGUGGGGAGCAAACAGGAUUAGAUACCCUGGUAGUCCACACCGUANACGAUGGAUACUAGGUGUAGGGGGUAUUAAAAUCCUCUGUGCCGUCGCAAACGCAAUAAGUAUCCCACCUGGGGAGUACGGCCGCAAG
rnacentral:rRNA from 1 species